GCUGGGUGUGGUGGCGCACGCCUGUAAUCCCAGCUACUCGGGAGGCUGAGGCAGGAGAAUUGCUUGAACCCGGGAGGCAUAGGUUGCAGUGAGCCAAGAUUGUGCUACUGCACUCCAGCCUGGGCGACAGAGUGAGACUCUGUCUCAA
rnacentral:SRP_RNA from 2 species